rnacentral:rRNA from 1 species
GAUGAACGCUGGCGGCGUGCCUAAUACAUGCAAGUCGAGCGAACAGACGAGGAGCUUGCUCCUUCGACGUUAGCGGCGGACGGGUGAGUAACACGUAGGUAACCUACCUAUAAGACUGGGAUAACUUCGGGAAACCGGAGCUAAUACCGGAUAAUAUUUCGAACCGCAUGGUUCGAUAGUGAAAGAUGGCCUUGCUGUCACUUAUAGAUGGACCUGCGCCGUAUUAGCUAGUUGGUAAGGUAACGGCUUACCAAGGCAACGAUACGUAGCCGACCUGAGAGGGUGAUCGGCCACACUGGAACUGAGACACGGUCCAGACUCCUACGGGAGGCAGCAGUAGGGAAUCUUCCGCAAUGGGCGAAAGCCUGACGGAGCAACGCCGCGUGAGUGAUGAAGGUCUUCGGAUCGUAAAACUCUGUUAUUAGGGAAGAACAAACGUGUAAGUAACUGUGCACGUCUUGACGGUACCUAAUCAGAAAGCCACGGCUAACUACGUG